GUGCGCUCCUAGAGGCCGGCUUCCCCGCGGGGCGGUGCGCGCUCCCUACGGCCAGCGGGGCGGCGCGCGCGGCACGGGGCUCGCUCCCGAGAGGGCAGGUGGGGGCGGGGAUUGGGCACCCGGGUUGCGGUGGCCGGAGGGGCCUGGGCCGCGAGGUCGGCGCCUGUGGCUGCGGCGGCCCGAGGCCAGAGGACCCACCGCGGCUCGGUCUCCGGAGAGGGAGGGCCCCGCUGCCGUCGCCGCCCGGCCGGUGCCCGAUGAAAUCAGCCCAGAGAAGUGAUGGGAUUUGCCCCAGGUCUCCCACCCAGCAAGUCAGCGCUAACGACGGGUGUUGGCGGACAGUGAUGGUGGUUCUCACUCUUGUGUACGAAGGACGGAGCCCUUGGACUGCUGGGUUCCUUCCAGGGAGGUGGAGGAGAAAUCCAUCUGCUGGGGCCUGAGCGUGGCCUGGGGGCCAGGCCAUCGUUCCCGGAAUGCCCCUGCCCGAGCCCAGUGAGCAGGAGGGCGAGAGCGUGAAGGCCGGCCAGGAACCCUCCCCUGAGUCCCCUGAGCCGGGCACAGAUGUCGUCCCCGCAGCCCCCAGGAAGCCCACGGAGUUCUCCGAACUGGUCCUACUGACGGCCUCCACUGAGAAUGGGGAUGGAGUGGACUCCCAGCCCAAAGCAGUGCACUGUGUCCUGUCCUUGGAGAUGUCUGGCCCUGACACCCUGGCUGGGUCCCCCCAGAUCCUGCCAGUAGAGGAACAGCAGGGGGCUGUCCAACCAAGCCCCCAGGCCCAGGAACUGAAACACAGCAAGCCAGACACAGCAGCCCCCCAGCCCCUGGAGUUCCUGAGGACCCCAUUUGGGGGCCGCCUGCUGGUGCUGGAGUCCUUCCUGUACAAGCAGGAGAAGGCUGUGGGGGACAAGGUAUACUGGAAGUGCCGCGAGCACACCGAGCUGGGCUGCCGGGGCCGGGCCAUCACCCGUGGCCUAAGGGCCACAGUGAUGCGGGGCCACUGCCACCCGCCCGACGAGGAGGGCCUGGAGGCCCGGCGCCAGAGACAGAAGCUGCCCAGCCCAGCCCUGCCCGAAGGCUUGGGGGAUCCCCAGGGCCCCGGCGGCCGAGUGGAGGAGCCCCUGGAGGGGGUGGGCCCGUGGCUGUGCCCCGAGGAGCCAGAGCCGGCCCCGGGGCCAGUGCUGAGCAAGCCAGCUCCUGAGGAGGAUGAGGGGCUCCGAACCCUGUCGCUGCUGAGCUUGCCUCCCAAGAAACGCCCGACGCUGGGGACCGGAGGGCCCCCGCCCCUGGAGUUCCUGAGGACCUGCUACGGGGGCAGCUUCCUGGUGCACGAGUCCUUCCUCUACAAGCGGGAGAAGGCUGUGGGGGACAAGGUGUACUGGACGUGCCGGGACCACGCACUGCAUGGCUGCCGCAGCCGGGCCAUCACACAGGGCCAGCGGGUGACUGUCAUGCGUGGCCACUGCCACCCGCCUGACGUGGAGGGCCUGGAGGCCCGGCGGCAGCAGGAGAAAGCCGUGGAGUCACUGCGGGCCAGGCCGGGCGGCCCUGGGGGCCAAGCGGACAAGCUGCUCCAAGGUGUGGACAGCCUGUUCUACCGCAGGGGGCCGGGCCCCCUGACUCUCACUAGGCCCCGGCCCAGAAAGCGGUCAAAGGCCAAAGAUCAGGACCUCCUGGCCCAGCCCCAAGGCGAGGAGGACCAGGACGAGGACCUGGGAGGCCCUGAGUUCCUGAGGACCCCUCUGGGGGGCAGCUUCCUGGUGUAUGAGUCCUUCCUCUACAGGCGGGAGAAGGCGGCCGGGGAGAAGGUGUACUGGACGUGCCGGGACCAGGCCCGCAUGGGCUGCCGCAGCCGAGCCAUCACCCAAGGCAAGCGGGUGACAGUGAUGCGAGGCCACUGCCACCCGCCCGACCUGGGGGGCUUGGAGGCCCUGCGGCAGCGAGAGAAACGCCCUGGCACGGCCCAGCGAGGGAGCUCUGGAGGCCCUGAGUUCCUGAGGACCCCUCUGGGGGGCAGCUUCCUGGUGUAUGAGUCCUUCCUCUACAGGCGGGAGAAGGCGGCCGGGGAGAAGGUGUACUGGACGUGCCGGGACCAGGCCCGCAUGGGCUGCCGCAGCCGAGCCAUCACCCAGGGCCAGCGGGUCAUGGUGAUGCGCAGACACUGCCACCCGCCCGACCUGGGGGGCCUGGAGGCCCUGCGGCAGCGGGAGCAGCUCCCCAGCCCGGCCCAGAGGGAAGGCUCAGAAACCCUCCAGCCCCUGGAGUUCCUGAGGACCUCUCUCGGGGGCAGGUUCCUGGUGUACGAGUCCUUCCUCUACAGGAAGGAGAAGGCGGCCGGGGAGAAGGUGUACUGGAUGUGCCGGGACCAGGCCCGCAUGGGCUGCCGCAGCCGGGCCAUCACCCAGGGCCAGCGGGUGACCGUCAUGCGCAGCCACUGCCACCUGCCUGACCUGGCGGGUCUGGAGGCCCUGAGGCAGCGGGAGCGGCUCCCCAGCACAGCCCAGCAGGAGGACCCAGAAAAGACAAAACUUCUGCCUGAAGUUCAACUGUGCUUCGAGACUUGUGCUCCUGAAAGCCAACAGAGCUAUGGGGGACGCAGGAUUGAUCCCUUGUCAGGGAACUAAGAUGCCGCAUGCGGAGGCGCAACUAAGCCCGCACUCUGCAACCGCAGAGCCCACGCACUCUGGAGUCUGCGUGUCACAACUAGAGAGAAGCCCACACGCUGCAACGAGGAGCCCACACUCCACAACGAAAGAUCCCACACUCCACAACGAAAGCUCCCACGUGCCUCAACUAAGACCUGACACAGCCAAAAGAAGGUGGAAGGUACACAUCUGGACAGCGAGUCCCAAUGAGGCCAGCCUCCUCCUGGACUCAGCAGAGGAACCUCACGUGCCGCCUGCGUCAAGGAUGCUCCAGGUCCACACAGAACCCCGGCAUUUCCCACCCGGUUAGAUUUUGCUCGACAAAACCUCUCUUUCACUCUUCCAAAGCAUCCACGGCCUUCACAUUCCCUCAAGAGGCCUCCCAGGAGGAACGCUUCGAUGGUGUAUCCCUGCCGACAAAGAAGAGCCCCAGGAGCUGGUGGCCCGCAGCUGUGUAUGACGUGGAGUGGAGUGACGUGGGGAGGGCCACGGCCACCAAAAGCUCUGAGGAAGGAAGCAUCGUUCACAAAGACACCUGCCCCUGCCCUGGUGCAAAUUCCCAUCCGUUUUCAGAGCCCACGGCUUUGCCAAGGGCUUUCCUGUUGGGUGUGGUCCUGCUUCGGCUCCACAAAGUGGAAAAUCAUCGUGGAGGCCACUUCAAGACGAAGGUGGGGCACGUUUGGGGAAGUUCCUGCUUCUUCAGGCUGAGCUGCCCCGUGCGGUUCCAGCCGUCCCAGGUGUUUUCCGGGCAGGUGCCAGGUGGGCCUUCGUGCUCCUUGGCCAUCUGCUGCCGGGGUGUGGCUGUCGCAUUAACAGAGCAGGCCAAAACCAGAGGCCUUGCUACACCCUCUGUUAGAGUUCCCUUUGCUGUUUUCCAACUUAAAUUAAACCCAGUGUCCACGAUCCCAGUGUCCACUGGGCAGGUGUUGUUCGGGCCCUGGAAGCCAGCCUGACGGCUGCAGGAAGCCAGCGCUGGGCAAACUCCACCGGGGUCGCCCACGUUCGCCUGAUGCAGGAGGAGAGGCAGAUCCCAAUGACAGUGGGCGCAAGCCCUUCUCCCGUCUGAUGGCACGGCAGGGAGCCGGCCUGCAGGGAGCAGUGGGCCCAUGUCCCCCACGAACUCCAGAGGCUGCUGCUUGCUAACAGGGCUGCAUCCUCCCCAGUGGGCUCCUUGAAUUGCAGGGGGAGCACACGGUGCAGGCUCCCUCCCGCCAAGCUGGCCACGCAGCCUGCCGUCCAGCCAUGGGACAGUGACAGCUCAGACAUCCCACCACUGUCCCUCUGCCUAUACAUUUCCCGCAAUAAACCUGAUUUUAUAUCUUA